UCUAAAUACCGCUAUGUGCACCGACUUAUAUAUAUGUGUUCUGUAAACUCUUACGAACUACCGGAUGGACUGCAUGUGUCGCAUUUAUGUAAAUUUUCGUUAUGUUGUAAUGUGACACAUUUAAGCCUUGAACCACAAAACAUAAACAAUGAAAGGCGUAGGUGUGAGGAGCGGUGUUUCGGGCAUAAUUUUAAUGGCCUCUCAUACCCAGACUGUAUAAUUUGAGUUAAACAUAACAGACAGUUCAAGGGGCCUGUACAGCUUGUUUGUGAGGAGAUCAGGGUGAUUUUUGAUACCUUCUGAGUCAGAGUGUGCAUAUUCUUCAGCCAAGGUCUGAGUCCUAGACAAGGGUCUGAGUGGAGUAGUAUUUGUUUCAGAACCAUCAACAUCUC
rnacentral:lncRNA from 1 species